rnacentral:rRNA from 1 species
AAACUUUCAACAACGGAUCUCUUGGCUCUGGCAUCGAUGAAGAACGCAGCGAAAUGCGAUAAGUAAUGUGAAUUGCAGAAUUUAGUGAAUCAUCGAAUCUUUGAACGCACAUUGCGCCCCUUGGUAUUCCGAGGGGGCAUGUCUGUUCGAGCGUC